rnacentral:rRNA from 1 species
AUGGCGCCAACAACAACAUCGACAAGUCCGGCACAUCCGAUGCCUCUGAGGCUCCUCGCCGGGAGGCCGCGGGGGCGGCAGUGGAGCGGCAGAGCUCCAGCUCAGGGGAGUAUGGGUGGAGAAGAACAAGGCCUCUAUGAACUCAGGCGGAGGGAGCAGUUCUCACCAGGCCACGGAUCCGACCCGACUGCUGCUGCUCCUCCUACAUCAAGGGCUUUGGCCAAAAAUCAGGUGCCCCCUUCUCUGGUGAUCUCUGUCCCAUUCGCAAAGCUACUGGACAUACUCUUGUUCGUUGUCCGCUUGCGUUUUGUGAGAGAUGCAACAAGCUAG